rnacentral:rRNA from 1 species
AUCGCAUGCUGGCGGCAUGCUUAACACAUGCAAGUCGAGCGGAAACGCCCUACAUCUUGCUCUCUCGCUGACGACCAACGGACGAGUGACUCAUGUCUGGCCUGCUCCUUGAUGUAGGAUGACUUCUACAGACUGCGGCUACUACCACAUCAUAGCUCCUGCUGACUGGUGGGGGUAGCAACGUUUCCUCUUGCUGUCGAAGGACUCCCGACUUAUCUACUUGUUGGGGGGGGAAUGGCUUACCCUAGCUUACAAUGCCUACCUGGCUGAAAAGGAGACCCGCCCCCUUGGGACUGAAAUACCGCCCCAAAUCCUACCGGAAGGCACCAUGGGGAAUUUUGGCCCAUGGGCCGAAACCUGGAUCCACCCCUGCCCCGGGUGUAUGACAGCCUUCGGGUUGUAAACCGCUUUCACCUGUGACGAGCGUGGAGUGACUUUAAUGGGUAUAGAAUCACCGGCUUCCUACAUGACACCCCCCGCUGUUAUACGUACGCUGCCAGCGUUGUCCGGAUUUAUUGAGCGUAAAUCGCUCUUACGUGGUUGAUCGCGUCCGAAGUGUAAUCUUGGGGCUUAACCCUGAGCGUGCUUUCUAUACCAGUUGACUUGAGAAAAGUAUGGGAGAAUGGAAUUCCUGGUGGAGCGGUGGAAUGCACAUAUAUCAGGAGGAACACCAGUGGCGAAGGUCGUUCUCUGGGCCUUUCCUGACGCUGACGAGCGAAAACGUGGCGAGCGAACAUGCUUACAUCCCUGCCACUCCACUCUAUAACGGUGGGUACGAGGUGUGGGGUCCAUUCCACGGGUUCCGUGCCGUAGCUUACGCUUUACCUACCCCGCCUGGCGAGUACGGCGGCAAAGCUCAAACUCAAUGGAGGUGACCGGCCCCCGCGCAGGCGGCGGAGCAUUCGUAUUAAUUCGAUGCAACACCCAUAACCUUACCUGGGUUUGACAUGGAUCGCGAGCGCUCAGAGAUGGCUUUGCCUCUUUUGGGACCGGUUCAGAGGGGGUGCAUGCCUGUCGUCACCUGGUGUGCUGAGAUGAUUGCUUAACUCACCGCACCACUACAACCCUUGUUCAUUGUUGCCAUCACGUUAUGGUGGGGACUCCCUGUAAACCACCGGGGUGAAGUCGGAAGCACGUCGGAAUUACUUCCACCUAUCAUGCCCCGUUAUCGUCCAGGGCUUUCAGGAUGCUACAAACGAGUGGCACAAAGAUGGCCGAGACUUUAACUCGUAAACAAAUUUCCGAAAACCGGGUGUCAGCUCCAAAUUGGCUCUGCGAAUUCCACCUUCUUGAUUUCAGAGUCAAUAGUCACUCCAUGAAUAAAACCUUUCCGGGAAAUUGUUCCCGGGGCU